AAACCAUGAUUGGGACACCUCUUGAGACACACUUUGAAUCUCUCCCAAGCAUCAUAAAGUGUCUCUCCAUCCGCUUGCUCAAAAUUACUAAUUUCCGCUCUCCUUUC
rnacentral:snoRNA from 1 species